rnacentral:misc_RNA from 1 species
AUGGACAUGGCUUGGCAAAUGUUGAAGUGUCUGCUGGAUUUAAUGCCCCAUUAGCGUCCCAACCAUUGCCACCAAUUGGAACUCCUGCUUUGAAAACUGAUGCUCAGGCUGAUACAAGAUCCCAAACAAUCAAGUCCUUCCAAACAAGCUCCCCACCUGUUGUAUCUGGUAGUGGAAAGAAUCUCGCAACAGGCUUAAUGUUUGAGAGCAAGAAUAAGAUUGUGGAUAAUGCCCAAACAUCUUUGGGCUCU